rnacentral:lncRNA from 1 species
AGUUUAGAAUGCAUUUACGCUUGUGCUGGGAUGCCAAGCUUAUUUUUACAGUAGAGUCUAGGCUGUUUCAGGUUGUCGGGUGCCAUUGGGGUGGACGGUGGACCCAGAUUUCUGUUUUUGGUCUCAGAUUGUGCCGAGGGCACGUGGGUUUGGUUUCUAGACCUGUUUUGACCCUAGCUACUUGACUUUGGCUUGUUAGAGCCUAAUUGAGCUCCACAGAUAUACGCUGCAUACUCAGUUGGGUAGCUCCCACGAGUGCCACUCCGGAGACGGGCGCUGUGCUUUUGCGUUGGUGUCGUUCAUGCAGGUUGGACUUGCUCUCCACUAACUGGUUAGUGUGGAGGUAGCUGUAUAGUCGCAACCGGGCGGGACGGGUGUGUUCACAGUCCCAGGAACAGGUAUGAUUACAGUCCUUAUUUGAGAUUGGGUCUGAGUUGACAUUAUUCUACAGAGGGUUAGAGUUAAAGCAUGAUAGUAUAGUGGUAUUUAGCUGUAGAUUUAUUCCAGCUUUCUUUACUAUUCCUGCUUAUCCCUGUAAACUUAGUGGGUGGACCGAUGAGUUUGAAGGCGGUAUCCACUGAGGACUAUUUCUUUUUGUAGUACUUCUCACGCCCAGUUGUUACCACUGUUUUGCAGAGCCGUCGCCUUCGGCUGCUGCUGUUGCUUAUCUUGAUCGUGGCAAGGGCGUCGCGAGUUAGAGCCCUUCCAGUCAAGUCGCAGAGCCAGAGGAGCACCAGCUACAGGUAGUUGUAAUUUUUGGGUCUUUACAUACAGUUGUUGUUAUCUCGCCAGAGCGAGUAUUUGUGUACCUGGAUCACAUGUAUGUAUUAAACCACAGUUUUUAUAUAUGGUUUAUUUUCUUAGCUGCUCUGUACUACUGUUUGUAGUAUUGUAUGAUUACAGGUACUUCUACUUUUCGCUUCGUAUAUAGGAAAAAUACCUAUGUAUACGGCGGGUCUGUUAGCGAGCCUGGGGAAAUGAGUAAUCCGGGGUGUGACAGAUUAAGUUGGUAUCAUAGCUUUGCAUUAGGUCGUUGGGAUCUAGGAAACCUAAGUUGUCCAAUCUUAGGAAAGUAAGACGCGAGAGGUGUGAUUUAUCGCGAAAGUCACUGAUUGAAGCGGAGGGAGUGAUUGAAAGAGUUUCUGUUUCGGUCCAGAAAAAUUAUGUUUGCUGCAGACGACAUAAUUUUGAAGAGAAACAGGGGCCGCCUUCUAGACUUUCGUUGAUUGGGUCGAGAGUGUUUGUUUGAUCUGACUCCGUUCUGUUUCUUGCAGCUAUGUAUCGUCACCGAGGUCGACCGUCUACGCGGGAUCGUGCACAGUUGACUCAGGAUCGUGCCGUACCUCCUGAGAUGUUGGAGCAGGCAGAGGCGAGUGCACCCCCUGUUGUGGAGUAGACGGCCCGACCGAAGAUGGGUGUACCUCCCGACUUGAGUGCACAGUUGGCUGCCCUGAUGGAGGUGACGAGGCGACAGAGGGAGUUGUUGGAGAGGAUGUGUGAGAGGUUAGCUCCGCCCCCGAGUUCAGCACCAAGAGCACCAGAGUCAUCAGCUCCACCCCCGACUACUCCGGCGGCAGCACCAGCUGCAGUUGUACCCCCGCCAGUGGAGAUUCCUGUGGCACCCGUUGUGCCUGCUAGGGGGCCAGUACAGAUGACAGAGGCCGAGCAGGAGCGGUUGACAGAGAGGCUUGCUCGAUUUCGCCGUUUUGAUCCGCCGAUCUUCGAUGGUAGUUGCACUGAGGCCUAGGUUGCUGAGGGCUGGAUUAGUACGAUGGAGAACCUAUUUGAGGAUCUAUUUGCCUCAGAGAGAGAGCAGAUACAUCUGGGAGUCCACUGUUUGUCAGGCGAUGCUCACGCCUAGUGGAGGAAGAUGAGGCGAGACUAUGGGCUAGUAGCGCUGCAGAUGAAGUGGGACGAGUUCUGUGGAAUGCUGUUCGGGAUGUAUUUUUCCAACAGUGUGAAACAAAAACUCGAGGAGGAUCUGAAGAGGAUUCAGCAGGGCGAGCGGACAGUUUAGGAGUACAUUCGGGAGUUUACGCGACUCCUGAACUUUGUGCUGUUCGUGGCUAGGGAUGAGGCGCACCGAGUUUAUCUCUUUGAGCAGGGUUUGAGACCCGAGAUUUUUCGGUUGGUUCAUGCGCACAGGUUGUAGACCUUGGAUGCGUCGAUGGAGCAGGCUCUUUGGGUAGAAAGGGGUGAUGCCUCCAUUCGGGAGAGGACUCAGGCCGUGGGGCAGAGUCAGGACAUGAAGCACCUCUUUCCAGAUGACGGAGGACCGUUGAGCAGCAGACGUCCGCCGAGGCCUCCACGAUCACGCUCUCAAGGUCGUGGGUCUUCGAGGAGUCAGCGUUCUAGGGGAUUCCGUCAGCAUGGACAGACUCAGAGGACACCGCAGUGUGUGAUCUGCGGGGGACCACACUGGCCUCGGCAAUGCGAGCAGAGAGAGGGCAGGUGUUACAGUUGCGGUCAGCCCGGGUAUAUGAGGUCAGCUUGUCCUCGUGCAGCAUCACCAGCACCAUCCACUGCAUCAGCGCAGCCAGCAUCCCAGCAGUCCUAUGGAGCAGCACCGAGUUUCCAUCAGGAGAACAGAUCGUCUGUACCGCGUCAAGCUGAGCGGUGACAGCAGGCUCCGAGUGGCAGGGUCUAUGCGGCCCAGGUGGAGGACUCUACAGUAGCCAACCGAGUGGUGGCAGGUAUUAUUUUGAUUUCUGGCAUUAGAGCUCGUACACUUUUUGAUACCAGUGCAUCGCAUUUCUUUGUUAGCCGAGCAUUUGUAUUGUUGCAUGGUCUAGAGUUAGGGCCAUUGUCACAGGCACGAGAGGUGCAGAUUCCCGACCAUGUUUUACAGGUUGCAGAGUGUUGUUGGUCAUGUCCGGUGCAGUUAGAUUCUUGGAUCAUGCCCGCAGACCUGUUUGUGUUAGGGCAGCUGCAGGAUUUUGACAUGGUGCUCAGUAUGGAUUGGCUUGCGCGGUACUAUGCUACUAUCGACUGUUGAGCGAGGACUGUGACGUUCCGCGAGCCAGGCCAGGAGGAGUUCACUUUCAGAGGCUGCAGGAGUAUUUCGUUUGCCACUUGGAUAUCUUCGGCGAGGGCUCGACAGCUAAUGAGUAGAGGAUGCGUUGCUUUUCUGGCGACUGUUAUAGAGGUGCCUACGGCGGCGCCGGGACUCGAGGAUAUUCCUAUAGUCCGCGAGUUUCCGGAUGUGUUUCCCCCUGAGUUGACUACGAUGCCGCCAGAGAGGGAGAUAGAGUUUGUGAUUGAUGUAGUUCCUGGAACUGCACCAAUCUCGAAGGUACCUUACCGGAUGGCACCGGCCGAGCUGAGAGAGCUAAAGGCGCAGCUUCAAGAUUUGAUGGAUAAGGGAUAUGUGAGACCCAGUGUGUCGCCUUGGGGAGCGCCGGUAAUGUUUGUGAAGAAGAAUGAUGGUUCGCUCAGGUUGUGCAUAGAUUAUCGGGAGCUGAAUAAAGUGACCAUCAAGAACAAGUAUCCUUUGCCACGCAUUGAUGAUCUGUUUGAUCAGCUGCAAGGAUCUUGUGUCUUCUCGAAGAUUGAUCUCCAGUCUGGUUACCAUCAGUUGAGGGUGAGGGCCAAGGAUGUUCCCAAGACGGCUUUUCAGACUUGGUACGGACAUUAUGAGUUUACGGUGAUGCCUUUUGGAUUGACGAAUGCCCCUACCGCAUUCAUGGAUUUGAUGAACAAAGUGUUCAAGCCGUUGUUGGAUAGGUUUGUGGUAGUCUUCAUUAAUGAUAUUCUGAUAUACUCCCGGAACGAUGCCGAGCAUGAGGAGCACUUGAGGACUGUGCUACAGCUUCUGCGAGAGAAGAAGUUGUAUGCCAAGUUAAAGAAGUGCGAGUUCUGGUUUCGGGAGGUUGCUUUCUUAGGCCACGUGAUAUCUGCGGUUGGAGUGGCAGUGGACCCGAAGAAGAUUGAUGCUAUUCGGGAUUGGCCCAGACCGACGACGGUAACAGAGGUGAGGAGUUUCCUUGGACUUGCUGGUUAUUACUGUCGGUUUGUGGAAGGCUUUGCGAAGCUUUCCACACCACUCACUCGAGAGAAGAAGUUGUGGACUUGCUAGUUCUUACCGUCGGUUUGUGGAGGACUGUGCUACAGCUUCUGCGAGAGAAGAAGUUGUAUGCCAAGUUAAAGAAGUGCAAGUUCUGGUUGUGGGAGGUUGCUUUCUUGGGCCACGUGAUAUCAGCGGUUGGAGUGGCAGUGGACCCGAAGAAGAUUGAUGCUAUUCGGGAUUGGCCCAGACCGACGACGGUAACAGAGGUGAGGAGUUUCCUUGGACUUGCUGGUUAUUACUGUCGGUUUGUGGAAGGCUUUGCGAAGCUUUCCACACCACUCACUCGAGAGAAGAAGUUGUGGACUUGCUAGUUCUUACCGUCGGUUUGUGGAGGACUGUGCUACAGCUUCUGCGAGAGAAGAAGUUGUAUGCCAAGUUAAAGAAGUGCAAGUUCUGGUUGUGGGAGGUUGCUUUCUUGGGCCACGUGAUAUCAGCGGUUGGAGUGGCAGUGGACCCGAAGAAGAUUGAUGCUAUUCGGGAUUGGCCCAGACCGACGACGGUAACAGAGGUGAGGAGUUUCCUUGGACUUGCUCGUUAUUACCGUCGGUUUGUGGAAGGCUUUACGAAGCUUUCCACACCACUUACUCGACUGACUCGUAAAGGAAUUAAGUUCAUCUAGAGUGAGGACUGUCAGAGGAGCUUGGAUGAGUUGAGACAGAGGUUGACAUCGGCUCCUAUCCUUGCCCUUCCAGUGAUGGGGGAAGGAUUUGUGAUUUACAGUGAUGCAUCACACAGUGGUUUGGGCUAUGUGUUGAUGCAGCAUGGUAGGGUAAUUGCUUAUGCUUCACGGCAGUUAAAGAAUUAUGAGAAGAAUUACCCUACGCAUGACUUGGAGCUUGCCGCGGUAGUCUUUGCUUUGAAGUUGUGGCGACACUACUUGUAUGGCGAGCACUGCGAGGUUUUCACCGAUCAUAAAAGUCUCAAGUAUCUGUUCAUCCAGAGGGAGCUGAACUGAGGCAGUACCGGUGGUUGGAGUUACUGAAGGACUAUGAUAUUAGUAUUUGUUGAAACAUAAAAAAAAAAAGAGAGAGGAAUAAAAGAGGAAAAAGAAAGAAAAAAAAAAGGGGGAGAGAAAGAAAUAAAAAAUAGAGAUGGUUUAUGAGAUUAUCCAUGCACCAGGUGCAUGGAUAAAAUUUAAAUUUUGAAAAUAUCUCAUGCACCGGGAGCAUAAAUUACGAAAAGUAGGACGUUCUCGUAGAUACGAACGGGUAUUAAAAAUAGCGUAUUAGCCCUUUCCCUUUCACGUAUUUACAAAAUGCUCCGCUUUAAUCAUAUAAUAUUUUAUUAUAUUGACUAAGGUGUAAUAUGAGCAAAGGGAAAGGACCAAUUCGCAAUAUUCUCACAAUCCCAUCGCAACCAUCCAUUAUCUCAUAAUCCCAUCAUAACCAUCCAAAAUCUCUCCCACAAUCCCACGAUACUAUCGUAACAACCUAUACCCACGAUCCCAUCAUCCCACGAUCCUCAACCAUCCACGAUCCCAUAACCUCCGCACCCAUACGCACGUUUUCCUCAAAUCCUGUUAUAACCACCUCAAUCCCACAAUCAUACGCACGUUUCCCUCAAAUCCGUUGCAACCACCCCAUAAAUACCUCUCGAAAACAAUCAAACAGGGAGAGUUUUUGAAUUUUAAAACCUAUUCCUAAACAAAAAAAAACCCAAUCCCGUUCCUGUGUCUACGAAAGAGAAGAGAAAGGUAAAAAAAAAAUAUUUUUUUUCUUCUCCAAUCAAAGCUCUCUCUCUCUCCUAAAAAGAAAAAUAAAAAAAAAAAGAGAAAGAAAAGAAGAAAAAGAUCUCAGAUCUCUUUCUCUUUCUCUCUCUCUCUCUCUCAAGCACCCACCAUGGCCAAAGCCGUAGUCGCCGUCGACGCCGACGUGGGGCUCCGGAACCUCGACCUCGAGCUCGAGAACUCCGUCAACUACACUACCAUCAAGGUCCUCGGCGGCGACUGCCGCCUCGACUAGGCGUUCCCAAGGCCGUUCGUCUCCUCGCCAACUUCAACUACCCAAGGCCGUCGCUCCUCGUCGACCCCUGCGUCCGAGGCCGCGUCGCUCCUCGGCCGUCCGCCCCUCGCCGACCUCUGCUCCGCCGAGACCGCCCACUCCGAGGCCGCCAUGCUCCUCAUGCUCGCCGACGCCGUCUACGGCGUCGUCACUUCCUGCAGCCCCGCCGUCGACCUGGUCCGCGUCGCUCCUCGGCCGUCCGCCCCUCGCCGACCUCUGCUCCGCCGAGAUCGCCCGCUCCGAGGCCGCCAUGCUCCUCAUGCUCGCCGACGCCGUCUACGGCGUCAUCACUUCCUGCAGCCCCGCCGUUGACCUGGUCCCCUGCGCCCGAGGCCGUCCGCCCCUCGCCGACCUCUGCUCCGCCGAGAUCGCACGCUCCGAGGCCACCGUGCUCCUCAUGCUCGCCGACACCGUCUACGGCGUCGUCACUUCCUGCAGCCUCGCCGUUGAUCUGGUCCGCUGCGCCCGAGGCCGCGUCUGCCUCCUCCAUCUCCUCCUCGGCUUCCCUGCACACGAGCCGUGACGCGCUCGAGCUCCUUGAGCUUUCCUGCGCCCGAGCUCCUCGCUUCUUCCGACCACAAAACCCCGUGCCAAACUCUGUACUUCCCGAUCCCCAACGAUGCGCCCGCGACGACGGACGACGGCGACGGCGACGACUACGCUGGCGAUGAGGAGGAGGACGAGGACCUGGGGAAGCUCCUAGAGCUGUUCCCGCGUCUCCGCCCUCCGGUCUGCGGCGUCGCGCAACCCGUGCGUGCUCCACCGAGCUCCGCUGCGUCUCAGCCGCGUCCCCACCUCACUUUCUUCCUCCGGCCUGCGGCGUCACGCGACCCGCGCGUGCUCCACCGAGCUCUGCCAAGUUCUUCCGAGCUCCGCCGCGUCUCCGCAGAGUCUCCAUAAGUUUCCUCUCCACACCGCACCCUCCACCUAUUCGAUGAAAUCUCCAAAAGAAACCAGAGGAAGCCCGAUCGAUUCGACGGCGGUCGGAACAGCCCUGAUGAGAUCUUGGCGGCAGUGACCUCAUCGGGCGCGGACACCAAGGUGUGGGUCGCGGAGGUGCCUCCCAUGCACUCUGCCGAUACCUUGACCGCCUCGUAGUGGGGCUCGACGCGGAGACCAUCAUCGCUGACAGCCGCGCCGCCACCCGUGGGUUCUCAUCAAUUGACGGGUGCUUGCUGUAGAUGCUGCGGAAUGGCGACGAGUUGAAGCCCGACAACCUCGCUCACCAAUUGUUCGAUGAAACGCUACUGCUCCGACGGAGUUGGCGCCAACGGAUCACGCCCACCAGUUACUUGACGAAAUGCCCAAGAUGUUUACUUUCGACGGCGAACCUGAUAUGUACAUAAAGAGAGAGAGCGGUGCUCUUCUCUUUAUAAAAAAUGCGUGUUAUUAAAAGAGAAAGAGCGGUGCUCUUCUCUUUAUAAAGAAUAUGGCAUCAUCAAAAGGGAAAGAGCGGUGCUCUUCUCUUUGUAAAAAUGUUAUCAAAAGAGAGAGAGAUGUUACUUCUCCAAUGAUAAAAAAGAAAGAGAGAGAGAGCUUUGUUACUGUAGGGAGGCAAGGAAGGGAUUUUUAUCCCGCCUUAGUUGUCCCACGAAUGUAAAAGAGAUAAAAAGGAAUUAUUCAUCUCUGUUAUACUAUAUUUUUAAAGAAGAUAAAGAGAAAAAAUGUAUUCUCUUAAUUCUUCUCCAAUGAAGAGAUGAAAGAAAAUUAGUCGAACCUUUCGAUUUGGUCGAAAUAGAUCGAAUCGAUAUUUAAUUCCACAGUAUGUGAUUUAUAGCUGAGAAUUUGACAAAUAAUAAAACGCGUUCGGAAUAUAUUUUUGAUGAAUUUGAUUUUGAGCUAUAUAUUUUGAUCUCAAAUCUCAUAUGGACCAAACCCAUAUUCAUUUCACAAGUUCACUUCAAACCCAAGUUAAACAUAACCCAAGUCCAAUACAAAUACGAAUCUGGGCCCAAUCCCAUGAUUUGAUUAAAAGAAAAACCAUACGGGCCCAUAUUAAGUCCGAGCCCAUAUGUAAUUCAAGUCUCAACUUGGACCCAUAUAUGAAUAAUGGAAUUUGGACCCAUCCAUGAAAAAGCUAUACCUAGCCCAAGUCCAGAUUUCCCAAUUUUUUGAGCCUAUAACACAAACCAUACGGGCCCAUAAUAAGUCCGAGCCCAUAUGUAAUUCAAGUCUCAACUUGGACCCAUAUAUGAAUUUGAAUUUGGACCAUCCAUGAAGCUAUACCUAGCCCAAGUCCAGAUUUCAAUUGAGCCUGUAACACAAACUAUACAGCCCAUACCCGAAUCCAUAUCCAAAAUGAUUUAGCCCAUACCCGAAUCCAUAUCCAAAAUGAAUUCAGCCAUAUUGAACCCGAAUCCAUAUCCAAAAUGAAACCAUACGGGCCUACAUUGAGCCCAAAUCCAUAUACAAAAUGAUUUGGUCCAUAUUGAAUCCGAAUCCAAAUUAAAAUGAAUUCAGCCCAUAUUAAGCCCAAGUCCAGAGCCAAAACGAAAUGAGCCCAUAUUAAGCCCAAAUCCAAAUCCCAUAUUGAGCCCAAAUCUCACCCAAUUAAUUCCAAUCAAGUCAUACAUGAAACCUAUAUGAAACUAGAGCCUAAUCUUGACAUAUGGAAACUCGGUCAAAUUCUAAAUAUUUGAUUAGAAUUGAUCAAACCAUCUAAUCAAAUCAAUUGAACUCUAAUACAUCUACUUAGAGUUCAUAUAAAUGAAAUUAAAUUAAACUCUAAUACAUACACUUAGAGUUUAAUUUUAACUAAUCCUAACUUAUAAAAUUAGGAUUUAAUUGAUGGUAAACCCAAAUUCAUCUCUUGAUUAGACUCUAAUACAUAUACUUAGAGUUUAAUUUCGACUAAUCCUAACACAUAUAAUUAGGAUUUGGUCCGCAUCUCGCUACAUGGUGCACAUAAAUUCAUCUUAUGGCGAACCCAAAUGAAAUUAAAUUGGACUCUAAUGUAUACGUUUAGAGUUUAAUUUAAAAUAUUUUGACUAAUCCUAACAUAUAUAAUUAGGAUUUAGUUCAUGUGAAACCAAAUUAGACUCUAAUACAUACACUUAGAGUUUAAUUUAAAUCAAAUUUUGACUAAUCCUAAUACAUAUAAUUAGGAUUUAGUUAAUAUUUGGCCUUAUGGUGAACUUAAUUAAGCUCGAACAUAUAAGCAUAGAGCUUAAUUAUACUAGACUUUAAGAUAGAAAAUUAGAGUCUAAUCCAAAAUAUUUGAGCUAAUCCUAACAUAUACAUCUAGGAUGAAAGCUUAAAUCAAAUCCAAUUGGACUUUAUCAUAUAUAUUUAAAGUUCGAUUAACUAAAUCAAACUCUAAUUCAUUUAAUUAGAGUUUAAUUUGAAUCAAAUCUGAUUAAGUCCCAAUGUAUAUACAUGGAAUUUAAUCAACCUUCCACCUUAGGGUGAACAAUAUUGUUAAGCACUGAAACAUAUGAAGCCCAAUCAAGUCAAUUUGAUUAUACACUUUGAUUCAGAAUCAAAUUCAAUCAACCGUCAUACUGAAUUAUGUUAUAAAAUCCAUCUUUUAUUCAAUCACAGCAUUACAAAUGUCUCUUAAUCGAAGGUGCCCUAACACUUUGUAGGGGUAAUUAACAAUGGACGCUUGCGUUUAUUAGAAGCCAUGAAUCCACAAUACCUGAUUCCCAUACAUAUUCAAAUAUUAAUCUGAAUCAUGAAUACUAUCCCACGGUGAAAAAUCAAAAUUAAAUUAACCGUGCGGGGUAUGUCAUUCGUGGUCGCAGACAGUAUUCAGUAUCAUCCCGGCAAGGCAAAUGUGGUGGCAGAUGCGUUGAGCAGGAGGACAGUGCAGAGCUUGAGCAUGUUGAUCACUCAGCAGAGGCCGUUACUCGAGGAGCUGCAGCAACUGAGGCUCGAGAUAGUGUCCCCUGGAUCUACUGCGAGACUGAUGUCUAUGGUCUUGCAGCCCACUUUGUUGGAUAGGAUCCGAGAGAAACAGAGUGGAGAUCCACACUUGUCGAGGAUUCGAGAGCAGUUUGAAAGGGGACAGACUGAGGGCUUUGUUGUGGACAGUUCAGGAGUACUGCGGUAUAGGGACCGACUGUGUGUACCUAUCGAUUUAGAGAUCCGAGAGGACAUUUUGAGAGAAGCUCACUGUUCACCUUAUACGGUUCACCCCGGUGGAACCAAGAUGUAUAAGAAUUUAAAGGCCCAGUUUUGGUGGAAUGGAAUGAAGAGGGACAUUGGUAGAUUUGUGGCUCAGUGUCUGACUUGUCAACAGGUAAAGGCCGAGCAUCAGGUAACUUCUAGCAAGCUUUAGAGUCUGCCAGUGCCUAAGUAGAAAUGGGAGCAGAUCACGAUGGACUUUGUCGUGGGGUUGCCUAGAGCUCAGGGUGGUUUCGAUGCUAUUUGGGUGAUAGUGGACAGACUGACUAAGUCUGCUCACUUCCUACCAGUUCAGACCAUCUGGUCGAGAGAGAGGCUCGCUCAGCUAUAUCUAGAUGAGAUAGUGAGGUUGCAUGGCGUGCCCACUACGAUAGUAUCAAAUCGAGACCCGAGGUUCGUCUCGCACUUUUGGAGGAGUCUUUAGACGGCCUUGGGCACUCAGUUGCAGUUCAGCACAGCAUUUCACCCACAGACAAAUGGUCAGUCAAAGCAGACCAUUCAGACUCUUGAGGACAUGCUGAGGGCAUGUGUCCUGGACUUUGGAGGAGGGUGGUAUCGACAUUUGAGACUGGCUAAGUUUGCAUACAACAACAGCUAUCAAGCGAGCAUCCAGCUGGCUCCGUUUGAGGCGUUGUAUGGAUGCAGGUGUCGAUCUCCUUUGUUUUGGAGUUAUAUGGGUGAGAGGAAAACGCUUGGGCCUGAGAUUCUGGUUGAGGCUGAGAAAAAGGUAAAAGUUGUGCGAUGACACAUUUUAGCAGCCCAGAGUCAGCAGAGGAACUAUGCUGAUACCCGGAGGCGAGACUUGGAGUUCCAUGUGGGAGAUCAUGUGUUUCUUAAAGUCUCGCCGUCCAGAGGGAUUCGCAGAUUUGGAGUACGUGGAAAGCUCAGUCCAUGUUUUGUAGGCCCUUUUGAGGUAUUGGAGCGAGUCGGGCCAGUUGCUUACAGGAUUGCUCUACCUUCACGACUAGCCGGCAUUCAUGAUGUAUUCCACGUCUCGGCGUUGCAGAGAUAUGUGUUCGACCGCUCCCACGUGAUUGAUUUUACUCCGCUAGAGAUUGGCGAGGACCUGAGAUACGAAGAGCGACCGGUGCGGAUUCUGGCUCGUGAGUCGAGAAAAUUGCGCAACCAGGUCAUACCCUUUGUGAAGGUACAGUGGAGUAAUCACGAGGAGCGUGCGGCGACUUGGGAGCCGGAGACGGUGAUGAGAGAGUCCUACCCCUACUUAUUUGAGGCCCAGGAUUGAGGUAUGUUUCAGUUUCGUGAUCGAAACUUUUUGUGAUGAGGGAGAAUGUAGUGUUUCAGAGGUUUGGAUAGGAUUGGCUACAGUAUUAGUGGUUGGUCGACACGUCUGGAGAGUGUCGGACUGAGUCGGAGUCGUUUUUGCACGAAAUGGAUGCAGAAAUGGACUUGGCGCACUCAAAUAAGCAAAACUGGAGUUUUGCCAGAUUCGGACGCCCAGAACUGGCCUUGGGUCACCCAGAAGUUCAGUGCAGAAUUGAACUGAACUCGAAGCCAAUUUGGGUCUAUGUUUCGGGCGCCCGGAUGUGGGUCCGAAAAUCCACUUUGGAAGUAUCGAUCGCGCUGACGCGUGGCUGGUGGUAGGUGAGGUCCGCCGGAGCCGGAUAUGGGCACAGCACACCACGAGCGGAGAGUCCGAUGAGGGAGCUUUGUGUAGCCUGGAUGAUUCGGGCGCCCAUAAUGUGGGUUCGGGCGCCCGGAAAUGCCCAUGUCUACAGAGACACCAGAUUGCAGCAGCUAUUCUUGGAGCUUAUUCUACCAUUCCAGGACCCUAUAAAUAGGUGGAGAGUGACCCUGAUGAGCUCUUUUCACUCUCUCUUCACAGUAGCAUCUCUGAUUUCUCCUCCACCCCUCGAUUUUCCUCAAAUUGCAUCCAAUCUUUCAGUUGGAAGGUGGUGGAGUGCUGAUUCUGUAGUUUUCCAGCGACGACCUUCGGUUUUUUGGCUCGUGUGCGACGUAGGAAGAUCGGAUUGCGGUGAAACUUGGUUUGCUGGAUUCUAGACUUCCAGAGGAAUUGCAGAUUUUGGUUGAGAGUAGCUUGGUCGAUUCCAUAUUUUUCUGGAUUGUUGGUGACUUUGAGCUGAAAAUCUGAUUUUUGGAUUUUUCUUGGUGCUAUCUUUGGAAGCAAGGUGUUUUUGGACCUGAGAUACAUACUCCAUCCUAUUCCACUGGAUUUGAGACCUUCCAUACUAGAUUUGGAUGUGAUUAGGUAAGUUUGGAUAUUGGAGUUGCGUUAAUUUAGCUUAAGUGCUGAAAAUUUGUGUUGAUUGUGACAUUUUGAUGGAUUUUAGUGGAUUUGGAAGUUCAGAUCUGAAUUGUGGACCCUUGCUGGCUGAGAGGGAGUUCGGCUGAGUUUCCAGCAUCUCCGAGAUUUUCUUGCUGUCAGGAAUUAGCUUUUGAGGUGGGUGUUUCAUCGGUUUCGCUCCUAAGUGCUAGUGUAGUCGACAUGUAUGAUUUCGGUUCUUAUACAUCAUAUUGUAGCUCAAAUUCAUUGAUUGUAGCAUGUAUGAAAUCUGAAUUGGGAGCAUGACUAUUAAUUAGAUGAAUAUACAUGUUGGACUUGGAUCUUGACUUAGGAGAAAACCAGCGAUUCGACCUGUCAUAUGAUUCUACUACCUGAUUUAGCUUUAGGAGCCGUGGUUUGAUUGUAUCACUACUGUUUCAGCGCGGUGGAUACCCGGGGUAGUUUAGAAUGCAUUUACGCUCGUGCUGGAAUACCGAGCUUAUUUUUACAGCAGAGUCUAGGCUGUUUCAGGUUGUCGGGUGCCGUCGGGGUGGACGGUGGACCCAGAUUUCUAUUUUUGGUCUCAGAUUAUGCCGAGGGCACGUGGGUUUAGUUUCUAGACCUAUUUUGACCCUAGCUACUUGACUUUGGCUUGUUAGAGCCUGAUUGAGCUCCACAGAGAUACGCUGCAUACUCGGUUGGGUAGCUCCCACGAGUGCCACUCCAGAGACGGGCGCUAUGCUUUUGCGUUGGUGUCGUUCGUGCCGGUUGGACUUGCUCUCCACGGACUGGUUAGUGUGGAGGUAGCUGUAUAGUCGCAACCGGGCGGGACGGGUGUGUUCACAGUCCCAGGGACGGGUAUGAUUACAGUCCUUAUUUGAGAUUGGGUUAGAGUUAAAGCAUGAUAAUAUAGUGGUAUUUAGCUGUAGAUUUGUUCCAGCUUUCUUUACUAUUCCUGCUUAUCCCUGUAGACUUAGUGGGUGAACCGAUAAGUUUGAGGGCGGUACCUACUGAGGACUAUUUCUUUUUGUAGUAGUUCUCACGCCCAGUUGUUACCACUGUUUUGUAAAGCCAUCGCCUUCGGCUGCUGCUGUUGCUGAUCUUGAUCGUAAUAAGGGCGUUGCGAGAUUGAGCCCUUCCAGUCGAAUCGCAGAGCUAGAGGAGCACCAGCUACAUAUAGUUGUAGUUUUUUGGUCUUUACAUACAAUUGUUGUUAUCUCGCCAGAGCGAGUAUUUGUGUGCCUGGAUCACAUGUAUGUAUUGAACCACAGUUUUUAUAUAUGGUUUAUUUUUCUAGCUGCUCUAUACUACUAUUUGUAGUAUUGUAUGAUUACAGGUACUUCUACUUUUUCGCUUCGUAUACAUGAAAAAUAUCUAUGUAUACGGCGGGUCUGUUAGCGAGCCCGGGGAAACGAGUAAUCCGGGGCGUGAUAAUUAAUACAUAUUAUUUAUACUUAAAAUUUAAAAUAAAUUAUUUUUAUUAAAUUUAAGUUAAAGUAGACUUUGAAAAAAAAAUUAUUUUCAUAAUAAAUUAUUUUCAUUAAAUCACAAUUUAUAAUAAAUUAUUUUUAUUAAAUAUUAUUAUACUUAUUUUUAUAAAAUUAUUUUUAUUUUUAUAAUAAAUUAUUUUUAACAAAUUAUCUUUAUUAAAUUAUUUUUUAUAUCAAAUUCAACUAUUAUUUUUUCUACCAUCCUCUGCUAUUUCAUAUGAUUAACAAAAUACAAUUUCAAUUAUUUAU